UGGGGAAUAUUGCGCAAUGGGCGGAAGCCUGACGCAGCGACGCCGCGUGGGGGAUGACGGCCUUCGGGUUGUAAACCUCUUUCGUCAUCGACGAAGCCUUUGGGUGACGGUAGGUGGAGAAGAAGCACCGGCCAACUACGUGCCAGCAGCCGCGGUAACACGUAGGGUGCGAGCGUUGUCCGGAAUUAUUGGGCGUAAAGAGCUCGUAGGCGGUGUGUCGCGUCGGCCGUGAAAACCUACAGCUUAACUGUGGGCGUGCGGUCGAUACGGGCAUCACUUGAGUUCGGCAGGGGAGACUGGAAUUCCUGGUGUAGCGGUGAAAUGCGCAGAUAUCAGGAGGAACACCGGUGGCGAAGGCGGGUCUCU
rnacentral:rRNA from 1 species